rnacentral:lncRNA from 1 species
CGUGGAAACUUGGGUGGAGUCCGUCCGUCGCGAAGAAUCCGGUCGACGCUGGUGGGGGCUUAUCCGUCGGCAAAACUUGGGAGUGUUGCGGAGGCUCGGCCGUCAGAGAGGUUCGGAGAGAUGUCGUCGGAGGUCGGAAGUUGGUAGGAUCCCCAGAGGGUCACUCCUAUCACGAACUUCGGCUGGGAGGUAUUUUAUACCCA